rnacentral:lncRNA from 1 species
CACCACAAUGCUAUCAUCACCAUCAGUUUCUAAGUCUUCCAACAAUUCUGUAAUACCCAAUAUCAAUCUUGUCUUGGACUUCUUCGCACGCUUAUGAGAAACAUUAACAAAGCUCCCAGCAAACUCUGUAUUUUCUGGUUUGGAAGGUAUCUCAAGGUCAUCAUUUAUGAACACGUCAAACCUCACGAAUUUGUCAUUGUCGUAUUCUAUCCCUUCUAUCACCAAAACUUCAUCUUCCUCUUCUUUCUCUUUCCUGCUUCUUGAUUUCUUUGGUCUUGAAACUACAGUAACUAUGGUUUUGUCUAAGACUAAAGGGAAUGCAGUGAUCGGUGUUAAUGCAGUUUUUGUUUCAGCUGCUUUCUUUCCCAACCUUCUUGGAAUUGGUUUUGAUUUUAGCCAAGGAAUUUCAACAUUUUGAUAAGUAUACCUUAGCCUUCUAUUGUCAAGACAAUCUCUAACCUUACAACGAACAAGCUCUGCAUUCUCAUUAUAGAAAAAAACUCUGAAUUAAGCCAAUCAGGAUCACGGAUAUCCCUCCUAAGUCCUCCAGGUAUAGUCUUCCAUAUCGUCCACAUUCGGUCAACAUUUGAGUGAUGACAAAAAAAUAUUGGAUCUCUCGCAGCUGAGUAAAAAUUGCCCAUGUCUUCGGUAUUUUCUUGAGUUGGAUCACCGGUCCAUCUGUGAAUAUUAUUGUGAGGGGUGCUCUCAAUCGUCCCAGCUCCAGGACGAGGAUCGUCACCAGCACGGUAUGGUUUUCCAAAAAAGAGUGUUGGUUUUGCUGCACCAGACACCAUUUGCUUGUACAUUACUCUAAGAUUACUAGAGUACACUUGAUUUGCGUUUGUGCGGUUGGGGUCUCCCGCUGCAUAAUCAAGAUCUAGCAAUACAGGAGGUUGGUGAUUCUGGUCGCGGAACUGGUCAUAGAGUGGAGAUUUAGGGUCGGUAAAGAUGUAAGGCAUUUGCAUACCACAGGGGGCAUCCCAGUUCCAGAAAGGAAGAGCAAAAGUUGGGUCAUUAAUCAGCUUGCCCAAGAUUCUUUCAUAGAAGUACAGAUAGUAUCUGUGCCAAGGAAAGAAGAGCCAAGAGAAAUGAACAUCAAGUUCUAAUUUUGGAAACCCCGCUUGUUCGUAGGCAUCAUCGCAAUAGGCACAAUGGACAUUGGCUUGUUGGUAGAAGUUACGUGGAUCAUCUUCGGGGAGACUUUUCAUUAAGGAAAUGGCUUUAGCAUAUUUAGCCACGUAGUCUUCGUCAACUAAAUGGGCCGCACGUCUAGUGCGCAGCGGGGAGAAUGGAGAAGGGGGUCUGAAGUUUAUGGUCUUUCUGGGCAAUGGAGAGCAGCAGUCUGUUGGAUUUUCGGGGUUUGGUAAGUCCACCAACUUACAAUUUUUCAAGACUGGAGGGGUGAUUGGGUUGGCGUAGGCAGUUCUGUCAGCAAGAUUGGUAGCGCUAUAGAGGCCUCCUAGACCAAUGAGGACGUCUCUUCUCGUGGCAGGGUUUUCUGUGUCGUCUGUGGCUUUGCAUGAAACCCUAGGAACGUAUGUGUGAUUCAGCCUUUUGGUUUUGGUAACUUGCUGUGGUUUUGGAAAGAAAGGACUGAAAGAUAAGGUGGACAUUACGGCGUGGCUGAAAGUAGGAGAGAAAUGAGAGGCUGUGGUUCAGAUUGGAUGUUAGAUGGCCGAUAAGAAAUACUGUCCUGUAAUAUAUAUAGGCUUCAUUUUGGUUAAAGGUACUGAAAAAUAUCAAAUUCAUGAUAUUUUCAUCGGUAGUGAUUCGUUGACACAACAAUAUUAAUUGUACUUGUCGUGGCAUUUAAUUUAAUAUAUAUAAUUGCUUUACAACAUUAUGUAAUUUAAAAGCUAUCCACCUAAGAUGGAAAACAUGACUAACAUCACUUACCACAAUAAUAAUGUGGUGGUCAAUAAGAACAUGCAAGCCAUGAUUGAUUAGCUCAAUCAAAUCCACAAUAAGUUUCAAUAGAUUCAAUCAAGCGCUCCGUUUGUCUAAAUACCUAGGGUUAGUCCUAGGAUAUAGUCCAAUAACAAGCACUUGAAUAAGAAUAUUGUUUAGAAGUUCUUAACUUAAUCUUGGAUAUCACAUGACGAUACAAUAGGAACCAUAACAAGUUUAUAUCAAUUGGUGCAUGAUUGAUCAUGUAUUUAAUUGUUUCCGAGAUCGAGGACUUCCAACAUUUUGCAAUUAACUAAGGAUCGUGGUAAUGAUCCUUCCAACUCAUUGGCAUUCAAGUCAAGACUUCUUAUUUUAUUUCCCUCUGUAAAUGUUUCUGGAAUGGUGCCAUGGAAGUUGUUCAUCCCCAAACUCAACACGGAUAGUUCAGUACUGAAAGCUCCCCAAGCACUGUGGAAUGUUGCCACUCAAACUAUUAUUAGAUAAGUUAAUGAUCUGGAAGGUGGUGAUAUUGCAAAUCCAAUGUGGGAUUUCUCCAGUCAGUUUAUUGUUUGCUAUUAAAAGAAUACAUAGAUUGCGAAGGAGUUGGAAAUGGUUGUUGAAGCAAAUUGGAAGUUAAAGAAGAAGAAAGGUUCAUCAAAGAACCAAGAUCAACUGAAGGCAUUUAUAUAAUCAAGGAAAAUCUCUCUUACUAGAGCAAGGUUUUGGACAAUCAUUUUCAUAGCUGGGCCUUCUAGUGUCAAUGGUCCAUUAAAAGAUAGAUCGAGUACAGUCAUGAGAAUAAUGGCUAUGGUUCAGGUAAAAAAUUUGAAUUAUUAUCGCACCUGACAUGCUUUAAAAAUAAUUAUUUAUUUAUAAAAAAAAGAAUAGAUUUCUAAUAUCUUAUUCUUUUAGAAAAAAAUAUCUUGUUUAAGCAGUCGCUACCUAAUAUUAUAGUCACUAGGAACCCUAAUUGGUCAACAUAGAUUCUAUAAUACGUGACUAAUUACAUAAAAAAAAAGAUAUUAUCACCCCUUAAACAUUCUGCCUGAGAUAGACUGCAUUGUUGGUUUUGUCUUAAAUUGCUAAACAUUUAUUAGUUUAUACUAUGAUAAUUUGCUUAUAAUAUUUCUGACUCUGGCGCCAAUGGAUAUUCACAUAAAAUAAAUUUAUUUUUGUGCAUGCACAUAUUUUUUUUUUAAUUUUCUAGCUAAACAAAAUAAAAUACAAUGAAUAAAAAUAAUAUAAAUUUAACCAAUAUUUUUAUUCCUGACUCUAGAGUCAGUGAAUAAACCAAUAAAUUUAUAUUAUUUUUAUUUAUGCGUACAUAUUUUUUAUUUUUUCUACUUUUCUAUUUUUUUUAGAUUUUUUAGGGCUGGGCCCAGCGCAGUCCAUAUAGGUUGGGCUAGACCCAGCCAGCCCAGCCCGGUCACUGGCCCAAGCCAGUGACCUAGCUGGGCAAGAUGCACAUAGUGUGAAGGUAAUUAAAUUACCUUCACACUGUGUUCAAUGUUUUAUUGAAUACAGAGAAUAAAAGUAGAAUGGGCUUACUUGCUUCUGGAGACGACGAAGAUGGUUGCAGCGCGGUGAUGCCAUCUACGUAUGACCUUACCUUUUGCUUUCCUUUGCUUUUGUGCCCACCGUCUUUUUUGUGCUUUUUUCCUAUGUUCCUUUGUUUUCUCAGUUCUUGGGAUAAAGGAAUUAAGAAGAUGAUGAUGCCGGUUCUCUCGGGUGGUUCUUUUUCUUUAUUUUCUUGCUCUGUUUUGUUCUGUGUUAUGCUUGAAUUCUGGGACUAAACCAAACCUGGGUUUAGCUCUCUGUUUUCUUCCUUUGGUGUUCGUUUUCUUCCCCUUUCUCUGUUUCGUUCGUCCUCUAUCUUCGAGGUUUUUUCCUAGCUUUGUUGUGUUACUCCCUGUUUCUCUCGAUUCUGCCCUCAGUUUUGCCCUAGUUUUUCUUCCUCAUGUUCAUGGCUUUUUUUCUUCCCCCCUUUUCUCCAUUUGUUUCUCUUCCAUUUUUUUCCUCCUCGCGUGCAUGGUCCAUCUCUGGCUUUAUAGAGCCAGAGAAUGCCAUACGGUUACCUCUAAAUAAUGAGGUGACCGACUGUUUGCAUGAGUAAGGAUCAUGUAGUGUUCGUUUUUGGUUUGAAGAAGGUGAAUCGUGUCCUUUAAAACGGCGCCGUUUUGAGAUGUGAAAUGUGGCUAUUUUACAUUUUGACCCGUGCAGUUUCGAAAGGCUUGUAAUUAAGCCCCUGGUUUAAACUCUAAUUGGCCCCCUGCAUUUGCGUGCCAUUUUCAAUGUAGUCCUUGGAUUUUAAUUUUGCAAUUUUGACCCUAUACUUUAAUAUUUCUUCAAUUAAGUCCAUGAAUAAGUUAAUUUCAAGCUCAAUUAAGUCUAAAACUUUGUCAAUUCUUCAGUUAAAUCCUUGAUUGGAUUACUUAAAUUAAUUUCAAGCUUAAUUAAGUCUCAAAACUUAUUAACUCUCCUAUUAAACCCUUGAUUGGAUUAAUUAAAUUAAUUUCAAGCUUAAUCAAGUCUCAAAACUUAUCAAUUCUCCAAUUAAAUCCUUGAUUGGAUUAAUUAAAUUAAUUCCAAGCUUAAUUAAGUCUCAAAACGUAUCAACUCUCCAAUUAAACCCUUGACUUGAUUAAUUAAACUAGUCAAAAAUUUAAUUAAAUAUUUGAACUUUCAAUCAUGUUGCCCCUAAUCCAAAUUUUAAUUCAUUUUUCAUUUAUUUUAUAUUUACUUUUUUUUCAUCAUUUUUUCAGUAAAAAAAAACAAUAAUUAAAAUAUAAAGGUCAAAAAUUGAGUUAUGACAACUAUAAUGGUUAUGGUUCAGAUUAGAAUUUUAGGAAACAAUAUAAUCAAUUUGGGUAACAAUGUAAUCGAUUAGUAAAAUAUCAGUUAUGUUAUGGUUUUGGACAUUCAACACAACAAUGUUCAUAAUAAAUCACUCAAAAUUUGCAAGUUAAUGCUGAUUUAGCAUUUAAUAUAGCCCCUGCGACCACUCUUAUUACUUAGUUUCCUGAUAUAGAUGGAAAUCACUAUAUAACACAUGACCUUGCGAGUAUUAUAAAGUAUUAUAAGCUUAGAAGCUUAUCUUGGUAAUGAUGAACUACAUGUUAAAGAUGAUAAAAGACUUGUUAUUUAAAUAUUAAUCAUUGUAGAAUUCACAUGUAAAAAUGAUUUUUUACCUUCUCGAAUAUAUUACAUAUUUUCUAUGUUAAAAAGUCAUUGCUAUCUAUUUAGAAGUUUUGUCUUGAAAAUAAUGCAUUUAUUAAUUUCAUCAUUUUAUGUUUUAUGUUAAAGACCUAACAACUAAGGAGGUAUUUUUUUUUUUUUUUUUAUCAUAGUAGAGAUUGUUUUUAUGUCAAGUCAAAGUCUUCUACAACAUCUUUUCCUCAAGAUUUUUUAUUUGAAGAUGUUUCUACCUCUGCUAAUAUUUGACACAAUCGACUUCGGCAUUGAAUUUCCAAACAUUAAUGUAACUUUUAUAUUAAUUUAGCAGCAACGUGAACCAACAUAGGUUUGAUUCACUUAUUACCUGCUUUUCAUGAUCAGGUGAGGAUCCAUAUAAACACUUGAAGGAAUUCCAUAUUGUUCGCUCCACAAUGAAGCUGCAAGGAAUGAUCGAAGAACAAGUCAAACUCAGAGCUUUCCCAUUCUCGUUGGUAGACAAGGCAAAAGAUUGGUUUUAUUACCUUCCAUUUGAAUCUAUUACCAAGGUAAUGAUAUAAAAAGGAAGUUUUUGAAAAAGUUCUUUUCAAUAUCAAGAGCAGUUACCAUCUGAAAAGAUAUCAGUGAAUUCAUCAAAAUAAUGGCAAGACAUUAUAUGAAUAUUGAGAGCAUUUUGAUAAGUUAUGCACGAGUUGCCCUCGUCAUUAAAAUUCUGAUCAAUUAUUGUUGCCAUAUUUUUAUAAGGGAUUGUUACCAAUGGAACAUAACACGAUUGACACAACAAGUGGAGGAGCACUUAUAUAUAUAUAUAUAUAUAUAAAAGAAAAACUCCUGAAGAAGCAUGAGACUUAAUCUAAAAAAUGGCGGCAAAUUCACAACAAUUUGGAGUCUGUGUUGAUUCAUCUAGAAGAUUUAAUGAGGUAAUGCAUUCUAAUAUUUAGACACAAUUUUCAAAACUAACAACCCUUGUUAGAGAAGUUGCUUUAUAACAUGUUAAACAUGCCAUAGUUUGCGAAAUCUGCUCUUUCUCGGACCAUCGUGUUGACAGAUGCCCUCAAUUACAAGAUGGCAUGCCUCAAGCUUGUCACGGGUGGAUUUAACAACCAGCAAAUGACAUAUGACUCAUUUUCCAAUUAGUACAACCCCGGGUGGAAAGAUCACCCAAACCUAAAAUAUGACCAGCCCUCAAAUCAUCAGUUUUUUUAACCUUAUGUCCACGAUAAAUCAACCUUUUCUCCUUAACAAUCAUCAAGUGCAAGUAUGUCUCUAACACACAAACUUUUUAAUAGGAGACGAGAGCAAACAUUCAAAUUUUUGAAAACCAAAUAUCACAAUUGGCUUCUUCAAUGCAUAAAAUAGAGGUUAGAAAAGGAAGGUUACCAUCUCAAUCUAAAGUUAACCCCUUGGAAAAUGCAAAUGUCAUGACUCUUAAAAGUGACAAAGAAGUGCGUAACCAAAGACAGUAUUAGUCGGCAACCAAUAAAUAAAAGAAAAACCGGCUGAAUCAUUUAAUCUGCCGACCAACAAGGUAAGUGAAAAUUAUGCCUUUCCAAAAUUCCAAGUUCUAAUAUUUAAAUUUGUUAGUCUAUUUUGUUCAUUUUGGGAGCUCGUUCCCUCUUGUUCAUUGGGUUGUAUAUGCGUGUAAUUUUGACUUGCUAGUUUUCUAACUUUGUUACUUUUGAUUUAUAAUAUUUACUUACAUUUUGAUUAAAAAAAUAAAAUUAUUUAAAGCUGAAAAAACAUCAUAUUCUUAGGUAAAUUUUAUAUAAAAUUUAAAUAACUCUUAUGACUCCUUAAAAAUCAUUGUAUUUACUGCGUGUAUACAUUUAGUCAAACCCAGCAGUAAAAUGGCUGCAAAUGGUUGAUAGCCAUUGUCCAACCCAUGACCGACUGUUUGUCUUAGCUCAAACGAUUAUAUAUAUAUAUAUAUAUAUAAAACCGAGUGUCUGGUCUUCUGUGGAACCACAACAGGAUACUGAAAAAUAUUGAAUUUGAGCGUCAUGAAUACAAACAAGAUCUCUGAAGCUUUAACGAUUGCCUGCACAAGCCUCUCGUUGAUUCUUGCUCUUCACUUAACCAAAGCUCGCUUUCUGAUCAUUCUAACAAGAAAGCUCACACGCGUGCUGCUUGAAAAGAGACUGCUUGCUUCGCCAGCUUAAAAGCACAUAAUCUUGAAUAAACAUAAGCUGAAAAACUAUAAGGUUGCAUUUAUAGUGUUGAAAAGGAAAUUAAAUAGAUACAAACAUUAGAAGUGGUCUGAAAUAAAAUUUAUCUUUCAGUAUUGAUGGAGCUUGCAAGAAUAACAAGUCGGAUGCAAAACCAAUUAAAUUUCUAUAAUUAGUGUAUUUUUUAUUAAAAAAAAUUAAAAUAAAAAAAUCCUUAAAGUAAAAAAAAUUGUAAAAUUAAUACAAAAAAUAAAAUAAAAAAUACGUCUUCUAAUAGACAAUUAAAAACAGACAAGUGAUACAAUUCAUACAAAAACAUCAUUUAAGUUUAUACAAGUGCAUCAUUUGUUUUUUCCAAUUAAAUAAAAACACAUUGAAAUGGAGUCAUAGUUUAUGUAUGGACUAAUUAAUUUGAGGUCUUCCUAUCCCUAUUUCUAUUCAAAAUAUGACCGUUCUGAGAUAUCGUUGAUCAGAAUAAACAAUAAUGGAUCCAUAUUUGAUAAAACUCAGCUAUCAUCGAAAAAUCCAAAAGCAGUAUAGAUAUGUUGGAUUAUAUCUGCAAUCUGCAAUCUACAAUAAUUACAGAUUCUUUUUCUUGCAUGGACGAAAGCAUGUUAAAUCCACCAGUAUUUAACUUGUUAAAUUUAUAAUCUUGAUCAUGAUAUUAUAAUAAUUUUAUAUAAUAUAAAUCAAAAUAAAUUAUAAAAUUUAAUUUUUAAUUAUUCAAUAUUAAAUAAUGAACUUAAAACGUAUUAUUUAAAAAAUAUUUAAAAAAUAACCCGAGUAAACUUUGGUUAAUCUGUUAAAUCUACAUUCCUAGUUAAGAGAUUGAGAUAACCUCAUAUCAAAACAAAUUAUAAAAUUCAAUUAUCAAUUAACCCAAUUUUAAAGAAUAAAAUUGAAUAAAAAUCAAUUAAAAAAAUAAAAAUAAUAUGAGUCAAUUUGAAUUAAGUCAUGAGACUAGGAUAAUCUUAUAAAAAAAUUUAUAUAAAAAAAAAAUCAAAGUUAACCUACUAAACCUGUGAUUUAGGUAAUGAGAUUGAAAUAACCUUAUAAAAAAUAAAUUGAAACGAAUUAUAAAACACAAUUUCUAAUCAACUCAGUAUCGAAAAAUAAAAUUUUAAAAAAAUAAUUUAAAAAAAUUAAAAAAUUAAUCAAAAUUAACUCGAAUUUAACUUGUUAAACUCACAAUUUAAAUUAUACAAUUAAAUUAGUUUUAUAAAAAAUAAAUCAAAAGAAAUCAUUAAAUUAAAUUCUUUACCAAUUAAAUAUUAAAAUAAUUAAAAAUGAAAAAAAAUAGCUUUGUGAGGUGAGCACCCACCCUUUUAGCGUUUUGUUAAUAAAAUUGUGGUUACUUGACAAGACGCUCUAGAAUAAAACGUGAAACUAUUGAAUUAUAGAUCAACCAGGAGGACACCAGCUGACAGCAACAGAUGUGGUGACCACUGACCAGUCUGCGUAGUAUGUUUCACGUUGCAUAUAACUUGUGGAACGCUGUGUAUCAUGUCAGAUUUUUUUUUUAAUAUAAGAAAAUAUUUAAAUAUUGUUAAUAUUUUUUAAUGAAAAAAAAUAUGCUGGGGUUAAUUUGAAAUAACUUAAUGAUUUUAUCAGUCUAAAAACAACUUAAAUGACCUAUAAAAAUAUAAUUUAACUUAUUUUUUUUAAGAUGAUAUCUUUUUUUUUUUAAUAUUAAGGUAAUAAUAUAUUGGAUUGACUUGGGUCAACUCGGAUUAACAUGUCAAAUUCAUGACUUGGGUUAUGAGACUAUAAUAACUGGUAUAAAAUAAAUUAUAAAACCUAAUUUACAAUCGAUUCAAUGUUGAAGGAUGAAAUUAAAAAUAAAAUUAAUUAAAAAAAAGACCUAAAGUUAACUUUUCAAACUCUUGACUUGGGUCAUAAAACCGAGAUAACCUUAUAAAAAAAUCAAAAUAAAUUACGAAGUUUAAUUCGUAAUCAGUUCAAUUUUGAAGGAUGAGACUAAAAAAAGAACAUAAAAACCGACAAAGUUAAUUUGUCAAAUUCAUGACUUGGGCCAUGAAAUCGAGAUAAUCACAGAAAAAAAAAAAAACAAAAAUGACUUGAUUUAACCUGGAUUAACUUCUUAAACUGAGGUAACCCUAUAAAAAGCAAAUCAAAAUAAAUUAUAAAACUCAAUUUCCAAUCAAUUUUCAGACCCAAUAUUGAAUGAUGAAAUUUGUAAAAAAUCAAGCUAAAAAAAUGACAAAACAACGAGUUAAUUCAAUAUGGGUUAACUUGUUAAGCACUAUUCUUGGAUCAUGAGAUCAAGAUAACCUUAUAGAUGAUGAAACAUAAUUCUCAAUCAAACACAAUAUUAAAUGGUGAAAUUAGAAAAAAAAGUAAAUAAAAAAAAAAUUAGUCAAUUAGAUUAACCUGCUAAACCCGCAACCUAGAUCAUUAGACAAAGACAAACCAAUAAAGAGGAAAUCCAUUGUUGAAGGACAUGAGACUGAGAUAACCUCUUAUAAAAAAAUUAAAAUACAAAAUAACAUGAUUUAACCAAAGUCAAAAUAUCAAAUUAACCCACGAUCCUAAUUAUGAGACCAAGAUAUCUUUAUACAAAAUAAAAAUAAAAAGAUUAUGAAGUUCAAUUAUCAACAGAGCUAAUAUUUCAUGAUAAAAAUGGAAAAUUUUCAAUUAAAAAAAUCAUAAAAACAACUCGAGUUAACUCGUGUUAAUAUUUUAAGUAUUAUUCUCGUAUUAUGAAAUUGAGAUAACUUAAUAGAAAAUAAAUAAAACAAAUCAUGAAACUUAAUUUUUAAUUAACCUGAUAUUAAAAAAUAAAAUUGAAAAAACAAGUUAAAUAAGAAAAUAAAAAACUUUAACCAACCAAGUUAACUUGAUAAACCCACAAUCCGUGUUAUGAGAAUGAAAUAAUUUAAUAAAAAAUAAAUCUAAUAUUACAAGAUAAAAUAAAAAAAUAUUAAUUAAAAAAAUUCAAAGAAAAAAAAAAAGCAAAUGUUUUUGUUUUAAAGACCACACACUAAAACACGUGGGAAAAUUACUACUAUUCAUUGCUGACAGUACUUUCCGACGUGUUUCGGCGUAAUGUUACUUAAUUAACAACAUACCAGGUAAGAGACAAGAGGGGCAACUGGUAGGAGGAAAGCUCUGCAAUGAACUUUUAGGUAGGUUUCCAAGACAAUAUAUCCACCUUUGCGAGAUUUUUAAAUAUUUUGUUCUUAUUUUAUUAAUGGAAAUCUUUGGUGUUCGUAUCACAUAACUGCAAGCAAAAUCUUCAAAACUUGAAAGAAACGGACCGGAAGGGAACUAUCACCGAGCUUCUUUGUUGCAGCUCAAAAGAUAUUUACCACAUGCAAGUAUUUGAAUGCAUGAGAGCAGAUGGAAGAGGAGGAAGAAACACUUUGUAAACAGACAAAGCAAGGAAGGACCCCCACUAUAAUGUAAUUAAUGACUUUGUUUUUCAUUUUGUUUCUUCUUUCCAAAAUAUCAAUCAACAGAUCUUGACAUUACUGUAUAUAUAUUCUUUGCUGGCUGCUUUUUCAACACAGAGACAACGGAAAAACCAAAGUAGUGACAUUUGCAAAAAAAAUCUACAAAUUAUUGAUAGGAGAAGAAAGACCAUUCAUUCUUCAAAAGUUGACGUUGAAACUACAACAAAAGAAAGCUAGGACCGGAUCUAAGUUUGAUCACCAAAGGUUUCAUUAAAGAUAUCAAUUGUGUUUAUUAUAAGGUCUAAAACUAAAAAAAUUUAAGAGAGAUAAAUUAGAUUGAUUCUGAAUAUUUGAAUUAAUCAGUUAUAAAUUUAUUAAACUAAAUCUUCGUGUAUUAUCUACGACAUAUAAGAAGUUACAUGAGGAAUUUUGCUUCUAUUAUAGAUGGACUGAAAACUAGACAUUGUAAUUCUUCCAUCCAUACAUGUAGCACCCAAUAAUUUAUCAAGACAAGAUGGAACAAUGUGUUUGAAGUUAGGUCAUGAGUUGAUGCAUGAUUUUUGCUUUUUGUUUCCUUAUGAUUUGUAUAUUUUUUAUUUAGCAAGGAUUCAUCUUCUACAAGGAAAGCAUUGGUGACAACAAUUAUGAUUAUUUUGGGUAGGGUUUCCAUGUCGUCAACUUGUGUUUCCUAUUAUUUAAUGUUUUUUUUUCUUAUCAAUAAGGUUUCCUUAUUAUUCAAGGACACUAUAUACAAAUUUAGGCUUAUUCUUCUAAUGUACAAUUGAAGCUAAUUAAUAAACAUAACUUUUAAUUUAAUAAAUGGAUAGAACUGGAAUUUUACUAGAAGUAUUCAGAGAUUUUGUUUUAUAUUAAGUUAAAAUUUCAAGUCAAUUAGACAUUUAAAAGGCCUUGCAAUAAGGUUUAAAAACUAUUAUACGAGAAUUGUAUUAAUUUUCUAAAUGAUUUAUGAUUCUUUUUUCUAAUAUUAUUUAGAACUCUUUUUUUUUCAUAUUGUUUAGCAUGUUUUUACUUUUUUUUUUUGAAAAAAUAUAUUAUUUAACUUAAUUGAGGUUUAAAAAAUUAACAAGAUAUGAAUUAAUUAUUCAAAAAUAAAACUUGUGUGUGAGGAUAUGCUUUUACUAUUAGAAACGGAAAAACCCUCUUCCAAUUAAUUCGUGAACGAGAAUCACAAAUCCAAUUUGAAAUCUUUAUGACUUCAUCAAAAACAAAUUCUUGAUGAACAAAAACAUUUAUGAUCUAGAGAUGAGCUAUUAAAAAAAUUAAUCAGCUGCCAUUACUUUAAUUGUAGAUUGUGCAGAGUUGAAUUACACGUGCAUGAUAUUAAGCAGCAAGGCACCCAGACAAACACUAAAAGACCUACAUCGAUCUCCUGAAGGAUAAGAAAAAACGAGAUGUCCUUGAUAAUCAUCACUCUUUAACAAACUCAAUCUUAACGCCAGAGAUGACAACAGGAUCACUAACACUGUUGGACCUGGGCACCAAAGCCACCACAAUGCUAUCAUCACCAUCAGUUUCCAAGUCUUCCAACAAUUCUGUAAUCCCCAAUAUCAAUCUUGUCUUGGACUUCUUCGCACGCUUAUGAGAAACAUUAACAAAGCUCCCAGCAAACUCUGUAUUUUCUGGUUUAGAAGGUAUCUCAAGGUCAUCAUUUAUGAACACGUCAAACCUCACGAAUUUGUCAUUGUCGUAUUCUAUCCCUUCUAUCACUAAAACUUCAUCUUCCUCUUCUUUCUCUUUCCUGCUUCUUGAUUUCUUUGGUCUUGAAACU